rnacentral:rRNA from 1 species
AUGUGGGGCUGCUACCGUGGGGAGCCACCGGCGGCCACGCCCGCGCUUCCUCCGGCCUCCGACGGGCGCCUCCAUCCAGGACCAGUGAAGGUGUUGCAGGCCCAGCUACGUCGCGGGGUGUGGUACUUGUUGAUCCAGUGGGACGGCCUUCCAGAGGAGGAGGCCACUUGGGAGCAGCGCGACGAGUUCCGCCAACACUACCCAGACUUCCAGCUCGAGGACGAGCUGUUUGCGCAGGCGGGGAGAGAUGUUAUGACCGGGGUAACUUAUACCCGGAGGAGGCCCACUAGGCGCGUUUAG